GCGCUCGUGGCGGAAUUGGUAGACGCGCUGCCUUGAGGUGGCAGUGAUGCAAGUCGUGGAGGUUCGAGUCCUCUCGAGCGCACCA
rnacentral:tRNA from 1 species